AUUGAACGCUGGCGGCAGGCCUAACACAUGCAAGUCGAGCGGAUGAGUGGAGCUUGCUCCAUGAUUCAGCGGCGGACGGGUGAGUAAUGCCUAGGAAUCUGCCUGGUAGGGGGGGACAACGUUUCGAAAGGAACGCUAAUACCGCAAACGUCCUACGGGAGAAAGCAGGGGAGCUUCGGGCCUUGCGCUAGCAGAUGAGCCUGAGUAGGAUUAGCUAGUAGGUGACGUAAUGGCUAACCUAGGCGACGAUCCGUAACUGGUCUGAGAGGAUGCUAAGACACACUGGAACUGAGACACGGUCCAUACUCCUACGGGAGGCAGCAGUGGGGAAUAUUGGACAAUGGGCGAAAGCCUGAUCCAGCCAUGCCGCGUGUGUGAAGAAGGUCUUCGGAUUGUAAAGCACUUUAAGUUGGGAGGAAGGGCAGUAAGUUAAUACCUUGCUGUUUUGACGUUACCAACAGAAUAAGCACCGGCUAACUUCGUGCCAGCCGCCGCGGUAAGAC
rnacentral:rRNA from 1 species